rnacentral:rRNA from 1 species
GUUGAUAAGGUUAAGUGAAUAAGGGCGCACGGUGGAUGCCUUGGCACUAGGAGCCGAUGAAGGACGGGACUAACACCGAUAUGCUUUGGGGAGCUGUACGUAAGCUAUGAUCCAGAGAUUUCCGAAUGGGGGAACCCAACAUCUUUAAUAGGAUGUUACGAUUGUGUGAAUACAUAGCACAUUCGAGGUAGACGCAGAGAACUGAAACAUCUAAGUACCUGCAGGAAGAGAAAGAAAAUUCGAUUCCCUGAGUAGCGGCGAGCGAAACGGGAAAAGCCCAAACCAGCAAGCUUGCUUGUUGGGGUUGUAGGACUCCAAUAUGGUAGUUCUUUCAGAUAGUCGAAUGACUUGGAAAAGUCAGUCAAAGAGGGUAAAAACCCCGUAGACGAAAUGUGGAAGACACCUAGGAGGAUCCUGAGUACGGCGGAACACGAGAAAUUCCGUCGGAAUCCGGGAGGACCAUCUCCCAAGGCUAAAUACUCCCUAGUGACCGAUAGUGAACCAGUACCGUGAGGGAAAGGUGAAAAGCACCCCGGAAGGGGAGUGAAAUAGAACCUGAAACCGUGUGCCUACAACAAGUCAAAGCCCGUUAAUGGGUGAUGGCGUGCCUUUUGUAGAAUGAACCGGCGAGUUACGAUUGCAUGCGAGGUUAAGUUGAAGAGACGGAGCCGCAGCGAAAGCGAGUCUGAAUAGGGCGUUUGAGUAUGUAGUCGUAGACCCGAAACCAUGUGAUCUACCCAUGUCCAGGUUGAAGGUGCGGUAAAACGCACUGGAGGACCGAACCCACGUACGUUGAAAAGUGCGGGGAUGAGGUGUGGGUAGCGGAGAAAUUCCAAACGAACUUGGAGAUAGCUGGUUCUCUCCGAAAUAGCUUUAGGGCUAGCCUCGGAAUUGAGAAUGAUGGAGGUAGAGCACUGUUUGGACUAGGGGCCCAUCUCGGGUUACCGAAUUCAGAUAAACUCCGAAUGCCAUUCAUUCAUAUCCGGGAGUCAGACUGUGAGUGAUAAGAUCCAUAGUCGAAAGGGAAACAGCCCAGACCACCAGCUAAGGUCCCAAAAUAUAUGUUAAGUGGAAAAGGAUGUGGGGUUGCACAGACAACUAGGAUGUUGGCUUAGAAGCAGCCACCAUUUAAAGAGUGCGUAAUAGCUCACUAGUCGAGUGACCCUGCGCCGAAAAUGUACCGGGGCUAAACAUAUUACCGAAGCUGUGGAGUACACCUUUAGGUGUAUUGGUAGGAGAGCGUUCUAAGGGCGUUGAAGGC